AGAUGCAAAGUCCUGGGCAGGAACAUCCAAUUGGCUUUGCCCCUAAGGGAGUGGGGAAAGGAAGUCUCUGGCUCCAUCAUUUCCAAGAAUUACAUAGUACGGAUUCCAUCAAAAUAGAUGCUGUGCAGCCAGGGAAAGGACAAAUGUUCAUUCACACUGCUUAUGAUAAUUUAUAAAAGUAUUAUGGUAAUAAAGGGGUAGAAUUUCAGCCAAGGAUUUCAGAAAUGUUUUUAAGGGCAGCAAAAGAGCUCUGCCCAUGAGUUACCUCCACUGAUCAACUCAAAUAACAAACACCACUCAGGCCUACCCUUGACUUUCUUAGAUCUUGAAGUAGAUAUCUUUGUCAAGAUUGCUACUUGCCUAGGGCACAGCAUUGUCUCAUUAGAAAUCCUCAGCUCUAAAGACGUGGGUGUGCCCACCUUCAUACACCCAUUUGACAUAAGACAUGACUGAAUUUCAGAGGUGUUUUGCCCUACAAUCACUUACUAGAGACAUAACUGAUUAUUAUAGAAUACCAACAGAUUUGGAGCAAUUAAUUUCUUCUACCUUAUUUACUCUAACUUAAGCAAAACAUGAUUAGUAAAAGUAUUUUAAGAUAUGUAUUUCCUCUAGAAAAUAUUUCACAUUUUUUUCUCAUAAAAUGAAUCAUAGUGAUUUGAAAGUCCCAGAUGGAUAAAUAGGAAACUUGUUACAGCUGAAAUUGAAUUCAUUCAUUAUAAAUCAGAUUGGAUAAUGCUAUUCAAAGCUUCAUAUUUCACCUGGAAAGAAAUCUAAUUAACAAGAUUGCUUUUUACAAAUUAAUUUCCUGACCUAUUUUCUUAUAGAGUUGAAACUAAACUCAAAUAUAUUUGUUCUAAUUACUUAAUACUUAUAUUCGAGCUUGAAACUCUUAUAUUUGGGAUUCUAUAUGCCGUGAUAACACACAUAAAUCCAAGUGAAUUUUACAAUUAAAAUUAGAAAUACUGAGAGUAGCUUUGAGGAACAUGUAUUAUCAUGCCAAACGCAAUAUUUGGGCUUAUCUUCCUCCCAAUUCUAAUUGUUUAAGGGAACUUUUGUGUGAUGUUUUGAUUAAGAAGUCCUUGAGGGAAACAAGUAUCUUCAUAAGGAAAUUCAAGGUGUUAAAACCAACAAAAACCUUCAUAAAUGAUGCAAAGCAAGGCUUCCUGAAUGUGUUAGCUGGAGAGCAACACUUCUAUAUAAAGCUUCUAUUUCAUCCCUGCUAAAGUGAAGAUAAAAUUCCCUUUGAGAUAAUUAUGAAGUCUGCAAAAUUUGUGUUCUUCUCAGAUGCAAUGCAUGCUAAGACCUCAGCUCUUGCUUGGCCAAUUAAGGGUUGCAUUUACUGGGAAUGCCUGCAGUACUCUCAGCAGUGUGGUUUUGCAAGUUUGGGCAGAAUUCAGGGGUUCAUUGGUGGUUGGCCAGAGCACAGAGGGAGGGUUUCUGUGUGGUAGUUCAAUUUAGGAACCAGGAAAGACAUAUACCAAAGUGUCCAUUAUGCUAGUAAUAAGCCAGGCAUGGCUGGCAGCCAUGAGGAAGCAGAUUUGGUAGGAGCUAGUCAGGGCUCCAUGACACUACUCAACACAGGGGCUCAGGGUGGAGCCACUUGGAGAAAAGAUGGCAAUUGGGGUCUACACCCAGACCUGGGAGACACUGAGGGUCUAGGGAGCUUAACUGGAUUCCAAGCCCUCAUUAUACUUCUUAUUUCAUUCAGUAGCACCAGAGGCAAGACUGAGCCUACGAGCUGUUUUUUGGGGUGUAUGUCAGAAGGCCUAGGAUUAUGGAUCUAGGAAAACAGGCAGUGGAAAUAAAGUUAAGAUUUGCCCCUCUUCCAGUGCCCUUUAUUGACUCGGGGCCACCUGUGCUACUUUCUUCUUAGUUUCUUCACCUCCCUCCCCAUGUGAAAAUACUGAUUUGGUAUUGCUAUUUAUUUUGAUGAUUAACUGAUAUGUACUGAGCAUUUUAUAGGCUUGCCUACCCACAGCUCAUUUUGAAGACCCCCUACUUCUAGCCCAAGCUAAGACAGCUGUCAACGGUAGACAUCUGAAAGCCACUAACCAGGACCUCUGAUGGAACACUGCUACAAAAGACCCUGCCCCUAAAUACACAUUUCUAGCUAAGUUUUCUUCUCUUAGGAACUGAAACUGAAAGACAGACGUAAGUGGAUAAUUGAUGGGGCACUGGAACUGCAAAGUCAUGUCAAGUCAGUCUGGGGCAGCCAUUUUGGGACAUGAAGAGCUGAAGCUAUGGAAGAGUAGAAAUUGUGAGCAAGGACAAGAUAAUUAGUAGGAAAUGUACAGAAUAGAGGCACAAGAAGUCUCAUUUUUGUGGCUAUCUACUGUCCAGCCCCAGAGUCCUGGAUGUCUGGCCCAGCUGUAUUGGGGUUCCUGUACUUGGGUUUCUGUGUGAGAUUCCUGCUCACAAACUGCUUGAAAUGCCUUGAGGAAAAUAUCAUUCCCUGUAACAAAAUGAUCCCCAGUCUACAAGAAAACUAUUUACUCAACUAACCAUUGUAUUUUUAAUCUUUGUGUUCAGUUGCAGCAAAGAUGUUUUAUUCACUGAAGGCAGAAGACAGAAUCAUAAAAUCAUCCAGGCCUAUUUUUAAAGCUGGCCCUACAGAUAAAACUGAUUUUCUCCUUGGGUGGAUGAAUUAUGGCGGGUAAAGAGCAGAAGAUUGUGUGUGUGUGUGUGUGUGUGUGUGUGUAUUACAAUGUAUAUAUUUUGCUGCUGGCUUGCCCUCUGUUCAAGUAUGCACGGGCAUGUGUGUGCACCUGCUGUAAGCCUACUUCUGUCGCUGCUGGCUGAUCUUGCCAUGGGCCCAUCCAUCCACAGGAUUUGCAACACACUCAGCUCUGGCUCCGUGCCUCCAUUUCUCACACCCACCUUCAUUUUUACCUAAUACUUGCCCUUUUUUUCCUCUGCCCUAAGACCCCCUAGAUCUAUAUUUUGUGCUUUCUGAUCCAUUAAUCUUAAGUACCCUAAUGAAGCUUCUAUCCCAUAAGUCGCUUAUCUCUCUGGAGAAUAUUAGCCCAAAUCUUAUAGUUGACCCUUAAAUGACAUGGAUUUGAACUGCACAGCUCUACUCAUGCAGAAAUUUUUUUCAAACAGAUAAAAAACACAGUAUUCAUGGGAUGCGAAACAUGCAUAUACAAAGGCCCAACUUUCUCAUACCCAGGGGUUCCACAGAACUGACUUUGGGGACUUAAAAAUGUAUGGAUUUUGGUAUGUGCAGGACAGGGUUGUAGGGUCCUGGAACCCAUCCCCCAUGUAUACAAGGGACAAAUGUGUAUUAUUUGACCUAAGAUAAUGACUUUCUGAUACAGAUUGCUGGAAUUUUCUUUCAUUAACAGUGCCAUAUCUGAAUGAUGGAUCACAGAUUUUGAAAACAGCCCUACUGUAUUUCUACUCACUCAUGCAAUAUCCCAGAAUCAAACGGUGUUUGAUAAAUGCCAUUUACCUCUGAAGGGCUUCUUUCCCCAGCAGGAAGUCAGGCUUUCCUCUUGGGCACUACUAUAGUAUCCUGCUAAGACAUCAUAAUGUGCUGCAAUUACUUGUUUUCAUGUUUAUUUCCUUUGAGACUGAGCUCUUUUAGAAUCUUUUAUAGAUUCAGUGCACAGUACUGCGACUAAAUAUGGAUUAUAAUAGGACCUUCCUUUUGUGGUUCUUAGAAUUAAAUUAAGUGCAUGUAAAGCAUCUGCAGUGUUGUAGAUGUCCAAUAAACAUCAGCUGCUAUUGUUAAUAGUAUUAAUUUAAUAAAACUUGUGCCCUUACACCCAGGUUUCUGUCUUGGCUAUCCCUGUGGAUGGUAUGUCAUGCAGAGACAGGGAACAUAGAUGAAAUUUAGGGGCUGGAGCAAAAUAAUGAGCUCAUUUCUGGAUACUGGCUUCAGUGCUUGUGAAGACAUCUGGCCACGAAGCUGGUAUUGCCUUUGACUUAAAAAAACAUACACACCUAGCUGGGACUCAAUACAUGUUGACUAAAUGAAAAAAUGCUCAUUCAAUAAAUCAUUAAUUCAUCCAGGUUCUUGGCCCUGACUUAAUCAAUUUAAAUAAUUUUAAGGGAAGGGAAUCAAAGCAAACAAUGUUUACUUUAAAAUGUAUGCACCAUUAGCACUACUAGGAGUGUCACAAUACCCCAAAACUGGAAAACACUGAUCCAUGUUUCAAAAUCCUCAAAUUAAGUACUGAUUUGGUAUUUUCUAAUAUGGGACUUUAAGGCCCUGUAUGAAUUACCGAUGUUCACUGGGUAGCAAUCAAUUUUGAAUUUAUUGCUCAAACUUUCAAGCUGACCACGAAUGUUCCCUAAGAACAAGAUGUCUUGAUUUCCUGAUUAACUCUUCUUGCCCAUGAUAACCCUUAAGUCUCUCCCCCUCCUUUUCUCUAAAAAUAUGAUGAUGAAUGGGGAAUAUAAAAGAACAGAAUGCAUAGCAACCUGCUUUCUCUGGGUCCAUCAAAGAGAAGGGUCAAAACAGUGACCAAGUGGCAAGACUUAAUAACAAGGCAUUUGAUAUAACUUUUCUUACCUGAAGGGCUACUGUAAAUCCUUUGUAUUUACUUAUGUUUCCUUAUCUCUGUAAGUAACCCUUUCCUGUUGCCACCAUCCUUAUUUUCUUCCUCAGGAUUCUACCCUAACAACCUCAGUCCUUAAAACAUACUUGUGCAUUUUAUUCUGUAAGAUUUUUACUCAUAAAGUUGCAUUUCAAAAUGAUCAAAACCAUGCUCCCAUUUCUAGAUGAGUAAAAGACUUGAUUAUAGAAAACAGCUCAGGUCUUUAACCAGUCAGGUUCUAUUGUGUGAAAGUCACUGAAACAUCACUAUGGAAACCACAGCUUGUAGCAGGAGGUAGUGCCAGUGACUCAGCAGGUGGAACAACUUCAAGGCAGUACUACCAAAUGCCCUGACAAGAUGCCAGGCAAACAUCUUACUACAGUCCAUUCAUUUUUUAGGUGGUAUUUAAACUGGGCUAAGGUACACUCAGAUUUUAGAUGAGCCAAAACAUGAGCAGGAAAAGCAGAAAAAGAGAAGAUCAGAGUGAAGUGGUGAAAGGGAAAGGUAAAAAAAAAUGGAAGACAAAGAGGAUGAGUAUCUGUUGUGGUCCUUCAGGGAAAAGGGCUACUGAUCACAUGACCAACCUCUACCUUCUAAGAGAUGUACAUGGAACCAUGGAGGAGUUGCUCCCAAAACCUGCAAGAGACAGAUCUAUGUGGUGCAAAAAGGUGGACGGUGGCAGAUCUAGAAAUGUGCUGCUUAGAAUUUCUUCAAAAGAACUCACUACAGGAAGCCCAGCUGACUGGCAGUCCUAGAUGCCACCCCUCUGGAUUCACCACUACAUUAGCUGCAAGGCCCCAGGGCUGCUCCCCGCCUUGGACAGCACAGUGAUGAUAUGAGUGCAAGCACAACACAAACUCCUCUGGCUGGCAACUUUGGCCUAAGGACUCCCCAUCAGCCUGGCCCAACCUUCUGUAGGACUGCACCAACAGUCUGAGAUUUCUCCUACCCAAUCCUCCUUCCUUCCAUCUCUUACCACAGGUGUUAGGUUUAUGGAAGUCUGAAGGCUCUUCCUGCCUACUCCUACUCCCUCCGCUUUGUCCUACACAAGUGAGUUCCUCCAAUAAAUCUCUUGCAUGUCUAA